rnacentral:lncRNA from 1 species
AGGAACAUAUAGGGCAAGUAAGAAGGAUACAAGGAAGCAUGUGGAGACAAGCACAACAGAACACGUGCCGAUUCAUCUAUUACUUUGUCAACAGCAAAAGUAUCCCAUAUCAUCAAGGUUGAACGCACUCUUGAUUUGAUGGACUUGUUUUGACCCUCAAAUUCUUGAGUCGACCUUAUACUCUAAGGGAAACUAGAAAACCUUCCAGCCCAGUUCAAGAAUAA